rnacentral:rRNA from 1 species
GGAAAGAUGAAAAAAUUAACCAAGCAUAAAAUAGCAAGGACAUACCCCUAUAUCUUCUGCAUAAUGAAUUAACUAGAAAUAACUUCGCAAAGAGAACCAAAGCCAAGACCCCCGAAACCAGACGAGCUAACCCAAAACAGCUAAAAGAGCACACCCAUCUAUGUAGCAAAAUAGUGGGAAGAUUUAUGGGUGGCGGUGACAAGACUACCGAGCCUGGUGAUAGCUGGUUGUCCAAGACAGAAUCUUAGUUCAACUUUAAAUUUAUCUACAGAACCACUUAAUCCCCUUGUAAAUUUAACUGUUAGUCUAAAGAGGGACAGCUCUUUAGACACUAGGAAAAAACCUUAUAUAGAGAGUAAGAAAACCCAAGUUCCAUAGUUGGCCUAAAAGCAGCCAUCAAUUAAGAAAGCAUUCAAGCUCAACACCUGAACACCUAAAAUCCCAAUUACAUCACUGAACUCCUCACAUCACAUUGGACCAAUCUAUUAUUUUAUAGAAGCAAUAAUGUUAGUAUAAGUAACAUGAAUAAUUUUCUCCACUUCACAAGCCUACAUCAGACCAGAAUACUUCACUGACAAAUAACAGACUAAUAUUAAUAAAUAACUAAUAACCAUUUCUACUCGUACUGUUAACCCAACACAGGCAUGCUUUUAAGGAAAGGUUAAAAAAAAGUAAAAGGAACUCGGCAAAUCUAACCCCGCCUGUUUACCAAAAACAUCACCUCCAGCAUUACCAGUAUUAGAGGCACUGCCUGCCCAGUGACAUAUGUUUAACAGUCGUGAUACCCUGACUGUGCAAAGGUAGCAUAAUCACUUGUUCCUUAAAUAGGGACUUGCGUGAAUGGCACCAUGAGGGUUUAACUGUCUCUUACUUUUAACCAGUUAAAUUGACCUGCCCAUGAAGAGGUGGACAUAAUAUAAUAAGACGAGAAGACCCUAUGGAGCUUUAAUUUAUUAAUGCAAACAAAACUAUAUAAACCCACAGGCUUUAAAUUACUGCAUCUGCAUUAAAAAUUUUGGUUGGGGUGACCUCGGAGCAUAACCCAACCUCCGAACAACCUAUGCUAAGACUACACCAGUUAAAGCGAAUUACUAUGCACAAUUGACCCAAUAACUUGACCAACAGAACAAGUUACCCUAGGGAUAACAGCGCAAUCCUAUUCUAGAGUCCAUAUCGGCAAUAGGGUUUACGACCUCGAUGUUGGAUCAGGACAUCCUAAUGGUGCAGCCGCUAUCAAGGGUUUGUCUGUUCAAUGAUUAAAGUCCUACAUGAUCUGAGUUCAGACUGGAACAAUCCAGGUCAGUUUCUAUCUAUUUUAUAUGUCACCCAGUACAAAAGGAUAAGAGAAAUAGUGCCUACUUCACAAAGCGCCCUCUCCCU